CCCUUAGAUGUCCGGGGCCGCACGCGCGCUACACUGUAGAUCGCAGCGAGUGUCGUACCUGUCCCUCCCGUAGCCGGGUGGGUAAACCAUUGAAAGAUCGAACGUGGCUUGGGAUCGGGCCUUGAAAUUAUUGCCCGUGAACGAGGAAUUCCCAGUAAGCGCGAGUCAUAAGCUGGCGUUGAUUACGUCCCUGCCCUUUGUACACACCGCCCGUCGCUACUACCGAUUGGGUGUGCUGGUGAAAUGUUCGGAUCGGCCGUUUGUCGCGGUUUCCGCGUCAUGUGGCUGAGAAGUUCAUUAAACCCUCCCACCUAGAGGAAGGAGAAGUCGUAACA
rnacentral:rRNA from 1 species